rnacentral:rRNA from 1 species
CGGCGAGUGAAGCGGCAACAGCUCAAAUUUGAAAGCUGGCCCUUUUAGGGUCCGCGUUGUAAUUUGUAGAGGAUGAUUCGGCGAGGGCUCCCGCCUAAGUCCCCUGGAACGGGGCGUCAUAGAGGGUGAGAAUCCCGUAUGCGGUGGGCUGCCUUAGCCAUGUGAAUCUCCUUCGACGAGUCGAGUUGUUUGGGAAUGCAGCUCUAAAUGGGAGGUAAAUUUCUUCUAAAGCUAAAUACCGGCCAGAGACCGAUAGCGCACAAGUAGAGUGAUCGAAAGAUGAAAAGCACUUUGGAAAGAGAGUUAAAAAGUACGUGAAAUUGUUGAAAGGGAAGCGCUUGCAACCAGACUUGUCCGCAGUUGCUCAGCCGGUCUCCUGACCGGCGUACUCUUCUGCGGCCAGGCCAGCAUCAGUUCGGGCGGUCGGAUAAAGACCUCGGGAAUGUAGCUCCUCUCGGGGAGUGUUAUAGCCCGGGGUGGAAUGCGGCCAGCCUGGACUGAGGAUCUCGCUUCGGCAAGGAUGCUGGCGUAAUGGUUGUAAGCGGCCCGUCUUGAAACACGGACCAAGGAGUCUAACAUCUAUGCGAGUGUUUGGGUGUCAAACCCAUACGCGUAAUGAAAGUGAACGGAGGUGGGAACCCGCAAGGGCGCACCAUCGGCCGAUCCUGAUGUCUUCGGAUGGAUUUGAGCAAGAGCAUAGCUGUUGGGACCCGAAAGAUGGUGAACUAUGCCUGAAUAGGGUGAAGCCAGAGGAAACUCUGGUGGAGGCUCGCAGCGGUUCUGACGUGCAAAUCGAUCGUCAAAUUUGGGUAUAGGGGCGAAAGACUAAUCGAACCAU